rnacentral:rRNA from 1 species
GUGAACGCUGGCGGCAGGCCUAACACAUGCAAGUCGAGCGGCAGCGCGGGGGCAACCCUGGCGGCGAGCGGCGGACGGGUGAGGAAUUCGUCGGAAUCUGCCUUUUUGUGGGGGAUAACGUAGGGAAACUUACGCUAAUACCGCAUACGACCUACGGGUGAAAGUGGGGGACCUUCGGGCCUCACGCAGAAAGAUGAGCCGACGACCGAUUAGCUAGUUGGCAGGGUAAAGGCCUACCAAGGCGACGAUCGGUAGCUG